rnacentral:rRNA from 1 species
UACGAAGGGGGCUAGCGUUACUCGGAUUGACUGGGCGUAAAGGGCGCGUAGGCGGCCUUCUAAGUCGAACGUGAAAUCCCCGGGCUCAACCCGGGAACUGCGUCCGAUACUGGAAGGCUUGAAUCCGGGAGAGGGAUGCGGAAUUCCAGGUGUAGCGGUGAAAUGCGUAGAUAUCUGGAGGAACACCGGUGGCGAAGGCGGCAUCCUGGACCGGCAUUGACGCUGAGGCGCGAAAGCCAGGGGAGCAAACGGG